rnacentral:rRNA from 1 species
GACGUAGGGUGCGAGCGUUGUCCGGAAUUACUGGGCGUAAAGCGUGCGCAGGCGGUUCGUUGUGUCGGCGGGGAAAGCCCCGGGCUCAACCUGGGAAUGGCCGUUGAAACUGGCGAACUGGAGUGUGGCAGAGGGGGGUGGAAUUCCGCGUGUAGCAGUGAAAUGCGUAGAGAUGCGGAGGAACACCGAUGGCGAAGGCAGCCCCCUGGGCUGACACUGACGCUCAGGCACGAAAGCGUGGGGAGCAAACAGG